rnacentral:lncRNA from 1 species
CUUUAUUAGUUCUGCCUGAGUGUUGAAGGAUAAUAUAAAUGAUAAAUAGAAGAUUGAAAAAAGAUUUGGUUAAUAAAUAUUCAAUAUGUGAUUGUGGCUAUGACUUUGUUUAAAUAUGUUAAAAGUUUGUUUGGGGAAAAAAAAAGUGGCUCUUUCCUGGUUUUAGGGCUUUUUUUGCCCUGAGAAAUAGCAAAAUGACAUAAUCAGUAAUUUAAUCACAGCAAUUUUUGUUGGUGACAAAUUUAGACCUAAAUAGCCCUUCCACUGCCGUCUGUUACUCUGUAGCAGCUACCAUAUUCUGGGGAGAGGAUUUGGGAGCUGUGGAGCCAAUACAUUGUGGUCUGGUGCUCUGGGCCGGGCUGAGGGUGGCUUCUUUUUCUGCUGAUCAGACCCCCUACCUUCACCAUGCAAUUGCCUGCGUUCCUGUUCCUGUGUCUUCUGGAAGAAGCUCCUGAGUACAGGCUUUGUGUCCAUCUCCCCUGCCCUGAACACAGGGCUUUCCUCAGAGUGGCCGCAGCAAAUGCUUGCUUGUCAAAUGAACCCUGCUGGUUCUUGUAUAGUGAAUCUGGAUUUUAGGUCAGGUCUUCUUCUUUUUUUUUUCCAGUAAAUUACGGUUAUAUUUUGAAUUUGACUGAACAUAAUACAAACUUCAGGUCAUGAGGUAGGAAAGCCACACUCUCCCCUCAAGGGGAAACCAAGUAAAAAACAGAGGUAAACUUCCCAGAGAAAAUGGGUUUGGCUGUGUCAGAUGGUAGAACAUGAGACUGUAUAUCCCAGCUUCUGGGAAAUGUCCUAAGCAUGAAAAAUUAAUGGAAAUAAAAGAAUUUAAACCAUUCCAGAAGAAUCGAUCAAAGAAAAUUAAAACGAUCUGAUUCCUAGGUGACUUUUUCAUCUUAAUUCCCCUUAGAAUAUAUAAAGCUAUUGAUAGUUACAAUGGAAAGGUCUAUUUUUGCUUUUUUUUAGCCUAAUUUACUAUUUAUUUAUUUUUAUAUAGAGAGAAAUGGGUUUGGAAUCAAAGUAGAAAAGCUAAGGGCCAACUAUUAUUCCAAAAUAAUAAAUCUUUCUAUCAAAUGGGAUUUUUAAAAACUUAUCCUUUAUUUUUUUGUUGGGUCACACUUGGGUUUUCUUGAAGCUCAAAUUAUACUAAGAAAAAGGCACAAUCAGAGAUAAACAAACCCACUUCCUCUGGAGACACAAAAUAAAUCAUAAAGUAGCAGCUCAUUCUAAACAGCACUCCUCAUGC